GAUUCAAAGCAGAUGUUUAGGUUCAACUUUCGAGGCCCAUUGCACAGUUUCCAUAGCGUAGCUCUCACAGCGCUGCUCAGUGGAUUUUAAGAACACUUGUCUAAAUGAAAUGAUGGAGCGUCAGAGGUAAGGUAUUCUACAGUACAGGAACCAGUAGCUUACAAUCUAGACCAGCAGCAGCUCUGGGAGGAAUACACUGUAGAACAUCAGUUUUAAUUUUCUGGACUUUUUGGAAUGGAAUGCUGUUAGCUGACUGCUCUAAUUGUGUAAUUGGGUUUUAAUAUGGCAAUAUGAUAUCACAUAGUUUGUUUCAUUUCCACAAAAAUUAUACCUGUAUCUACAUUUGAACUUUUUAUUCAAUAUCUUGCCACAGUAUAUUUCAGGGUUUGAAUUUUAUUCUAGUGAUGUUUGGAGCAAAGGCUCCAGGGCAAGGCUCUGAGGGGGCUAGAGUCCGUAUCACAGUUUCAUCUUCAGACGACAAGAAAGCUAAACCUCCUACCAGAGAACUGGAAAUGUGUUAAACACCUCCCAACAAGCCCUUGAACACAUCCAGAAAGGGGAGAGGACACUGUAACUGUAGAAAAAUGAAUUAGGAUGCAGACGAUCUGAAGUGAAGCGCCCAUGGGCUGGGGGCCCGUGGACUGAGGGCUGGGGGGCUGGGGGCCCGGUGGCAGCCUCUUCUCUGACUCAGCUGCAAGCUCCCUCCACCCUUUGUGUCGCAGUCAAAGUUUCAGCUCUCUCCUCUUUCACUUGGGCUUCCCAUCAGAAAGCGAAGCGUAAUUUGUCUCCAGAAUUGGAUAUGAGGGCCUGAGUAGACUGCUUGAAGAGAUGGGUUGGUGGAGCACUGGCUGUGAUUGCAGUUUGUUUGACCAGAGGAUAGAUUGGGCAAAUGACUGGUGAGUUGCAGGUUGGGCAAAGGACUGUUGAGUUGCAGGUUGGGCAAAUGACUGGAGGGUGGCAGGUUGGGCAAAUGACUGGUGAGUGGCAGGUUGGGCAAAUGACUGGUGAGUUGCAGGUUGGGCAAAUGACUGGAGGGUGGCAGGUGGGGCAAAUGACUGGAGGGUGGCAGGUUGGGCAAAUGACUGGUUAGUGGCAGGUUGGGCAAAUUAUUGGACGGUGGCAGGUUGGGCAAAUGACUGGAGCGUGGCAGGUUGGGCAAAUGACUGGAGGGUGGCAGGUUGGGCAAAUGACUGGUGAGUGGCAGGUUGGGAAAAUGAUGUGAGAAAUUUCAGUUAGCGCAAACUGCCCUAGUCCCACACCGUGCUGUUCCACUUCUUCCCUCCAUCUCUCCUGUGGCGAGUGCUUGUCAUGUCAGGGCGCCGUCCCCCUAAAGUUGAGUAUUUAGUCAGUAAUAAGGCUUUUGUGUGGUUUUUCGGUUCGUGUUGCAGCCUCUCCCUCCCCUCUGACAGGCCUGUUGUAUGGGAAACAUAUUCAGUUAAUUAGCAUGGCUACUCAACAAGACCCAUUUGGGUCUGUUUUAGGGUUAUGCCGGUGGCAGUGGUGACCCCAGUCACCAGUGCUGUUCUGUGGUUGGGUUCACAGAUGGCAUGGCCAGUAGGGUCUAUUAGAUUGAUUAUUUAUGGAUUAUUCUAUGGAACUAAAUCCUCAAUCCUCUUAUAACUGAAAGGGUGACUGUGUGUGGAUGAUACAAGAGAGCUGAUCUUAGAUCUGUGUGUGUGUGUGGUGUUGUGUGUGUGUGUGGGUGUGUGUGUGUGUGUGUGUGUGUUGGUGUGGUGUUGUGUGUGUGUGUGUGGGACGUGUUAAUAUAUACCUGUAAUAGUAAACAAACAAAAUUUGACCUACUGGGGACAUUUUGUUGGUCCCCACAAGGUCAAAUACUAUUUCUAGGGGUUUAGGGUUAAGGUUAGAAUUAGGUUUAGGGUUAGUUUAAGGUUUCUGUGCUUUUUAUUUUUUUUGUUUUAUUUCACCACUUUAUUUAACCAGGUAGGCUAGUUGAGAACAAGUUCUCAUUUGCAACUGCGACCUGGCCAAGAUAAAGCAUAUCAGUGUGAACAGACAACACAGAGUUACACAUGGAGUAAACAAUUAACAAGUCAAUAAUACAGUAGAAAAAGG
ensembl:lncRNA